rnacentral:rRNA from 1 species
UCGGAUCGCAUGGGCUUGUCCCGCGACAAACCAUUCAAGUUUCUGCCCCAUCAGCUUUCGAUGGUAGUGUAUUGGACUACCAUGGCUUUUACGGGUAACGGAGGAUUAGGGUUCGAUUCCGGAGAGGGAGCCUGAGAAACGGCUACCACAUCCAAGGAAGGCAGCAGGCGCGUAAAUUACCCAAUCCUGACUCAGGGAGGUAGUGACAAGAAAUAACGGGCCGGGGUACGACCUCGGGACUGCAAUGAGACGAAUUUACACCCCUUAUCGAUCACCAAUUGGAGGGCAAGUCUGGUGCCAGCAGCCGCGG